GCAAACUUGGUCAUUUAGAGGAAGUAAAAGUCGUAACAAGGUUUCCGUAGGUGAACCUGCGGAAGGAUCAUUAAAGAAAUCGUAAAUGGGGGAAACCCCUUUACUUUUCAUCCACCCCUAUGUGAACCAUUGCGUGGGUUAGUACGGGUCGCGUUUAAACGACCCGGAAGGCCCGCGUCUUUUCUACAUACCCCUAGAAAGUCUCAGAAUGUAACCUGCGUCUAACGCAUAAAUACAACUUUCAGCAACGGAUCUCUUGGCUCUCGCAUCGAUGAAGAACGCAGC
rnacentral:misc_RNA from 1 species